AUUGAACGCUGGCGGCAUGCCUUACACAUGCAAGUCGAACGGCAGCGGACCUUCGGGUGCCGGCGAGUGGCGAACGGGUGAGUAAUGCAUCGGAACGUGCCAUUGAGUGGGGGAUAACGUAGCGAAAGUUGCGCUAAUACCGCAUAUUCUGUGAGCAGGAAAGCAGGGGACCGCAAGGCCUUGCGCUCUUUGAGCGGCCGAUGUCAGAUUAGCUAGUUGGUGAGGUAACGGCUUACCAAGGCGACGAUCUGUAGCGGGUCUGAGAGGAUGAUCCGCCACACUGGAACUGAGACACGGUCCAGACUCCUACGGGAGGCAGCAGUGGGGAAUUUUGGACAAUGGGCGCAAGCCUGAUCCAGCCAUGCCGCGUGAGU
rnacentral:rRNA from 1 species